UACGGCCAUAUCAAAUUGAAGCACUUGUUCCCGUACGAUAACUAAAGUUAAGCAAUGUCGAGUCUGUUCAGUACCUAGAUGGAUGACUGCUUUGGAAUACCGGGUACUGUAAG